CUGAUGGAUCGUUGAAGACGACGACGUUGAUAGGCCGGGUGUGUAAGCGCAGCGAUGCGUUGAGCUAACCGGUACUAAUGAACCGUGAGGCUUAACCUU
rnacentral:rRNA from 1 species